UACGGAGGGGGCUAGCGUUGUUCGGAAUUACUGGGCGUAAAGCGCGCGUAGGCGGACCUGCAAGUCGGGGGUGAAAGCCCGAGGCUCAACCUCGGAACUGCCUUCGAUACUGCGGGUCUCGAGUCCGGGAGAGGUGAGUGGAAUUCCUAGUGUAGAGGUGAAAUUCGUAGAUAUUAGGAGGAACACCGGUGGCGAAGGCGGCUUCCUGGACACUUACUGACGCUGAGACGCGAAAGCGUGGGGAGCAAACAGG
rnacentral:rRNA from 1 species